GAUCAGCUAUCCUGGUUUGUCUGGGACUGAGGGGUUUCCUGGAUCAUGAGACUUUCAGUGCCCAAACUGGUACAG
rnacentral:miRNA from 1 species